rnacentral:lncRNA from 1 species
CCCCCUCCCCCUCCUCCUCCCCUCCGGCUGCUGCCCGUCCUCUUCCCCCGCAGCUGCUGCAGCCGCCGCACGGCGUGGCGCUGGUGGCGGCCAAGCGCUACUACUUCGGCGUGGGCGGCGGCAGCAAGAGCUUCAAGGAGUUGGUGGAGCGGGACGGAAUAUUCGAGACGUCUGUGGUGGCGGAGGUGGGGAGAAGGGAAGCGGGGAGGCGGGCGGUGGCAAGGAGGGGGCAGGGAGGGAGGGAGGCAGGGAUUACUUGGCGGCGCCAGUUGGGGGGUCGGUUCCCUGCGCGCGCUCUCUCCCUAACCACCACACCUAUAUGCGUGUGCGCACACGCGCUCCCCAUCACCAGCAGGUGGAGGAGAAGGGCUCGGGCAACGUGCGCGAGGUGCUGCUGCUCAAGUUCCCCGCAGCCAUCCACCCCUACUUCCUCUAGCGACUCCUCGAGCGACGCCUCUCGCCACCCCUAGCGACUCCAGUGAUCCAGGAGCAGGGGGACGGUGGAGCGGCUUGCUUGCGUCGGCCGGGUCCGGGGCAGCGGCAGCCGUAGCAGGAGCCAGGGCUGCGACCGACCAGCGCGGGUGCUGCUGAAGCUGAAGUAGCAACAGCGGCAGCAACAACAGCAGCAGCAGCAACAGCGGCAGCAACAGCAGCAGAGGCCGCAGCCGCGGCACGGGUCCAGAUCACGGAGCAGGAGCAGAAGUGCGGGCGCGCGAUGGCGUGGCCUUUGAGCAUCAUCCAUACCAGGCAUGGGAUGCGGGUGCGGUUCGCGUUGCAGCACCGGGCCACAGGCCGCAUGGCGAGCCCGGUGGCGAUUAGCCUGCGGGGGCUGAGGAGCUGAGGAGCCGUGCUGCUGCCGGUCCUAAGGCCUGGCAAUGACAUUGCAGGCAGCAGCAGCAGCAGCAGUAGCAGCAGCAGCGGUAGCGGUGCGGUGCACAGCUAUGUGGUGCGUGCAUGGCCGGGUGGGUUUCUGAUUCGCCCAUGUGCGCGAGCUGGACUUGCCAAUGUCGUACCAUGCCUCCACGGCUCCACGCAGUCUGGUGUGGUACGGCACCAGGUCACUAGGGAUUAGUCAUGCGAGUGAUGCGACAGUGCCAACAACACACCACUACGGUACGGCACAGUGAGGCGCAGGAUCUCUGCUGCAUUGACGGACAAACAUUUCUGCAUGUACCGGCAUGCCAGCAGCGGCGCGGGCGGGGCACCCGCAGCCGAGAGGACGCAAUGCUGCUCCUCCGCGAGGAGCGGGGGGCGCGGUGCCAUGCAGCCGCACUGUGUGCUGCACACAUACUCAAUGUUCAGAUCUAGCUAGUCGGGUUGUGGCAGCUGCAGGUCCCAAGGGGCGCGGGGCGCGGGAGGGCCAGACGGUUACGGAGUUACGGACAGACGUGCGUUGUACUUUCACGGUGUGGUGGACGGGUGCACGUGCGUGUACUGUGUUCUUGCGCCGGUGACUCUUUGUUUGCGCACGGGUGUCCUGUACUCAUGUUGGAUGCGGUUGUGCGGAUGUGGGUGGGUCUGGCACGAAUGAGACUGUGAACGCGGGAGGUGGGGGCUGCGGGAUGGUGGUGGUGGAUGGGGGGUUCCUGACGUGGAUGCACUCCCACACGACCUGCAUGGACGGCGGCAGGCAGUGCACUUAUGGGUGGGUUGACACGCGGCGCUCGGGCCCCGGACCUGCGGCGGCUCUGUAUCAGUAGUAGUAGGAGACAUGCACAGGCACGGCAUGGCACGCCUGGGUUGCCUUUUGAAGGCGGGUGGCUGGCCGGAGGAUGGGAAGGGUCGGAAUGGCCAGCACGCUGGUCCCGUAACAGCGCGCCGAAGCGGCGUGGCGCCAAGAUAGAACCGGAAUGAAUGACAGGUCGGCUUGGGAGGCUGGCUGAUUUCGGACAGGGGUCCGGUGGUCUGCUUGCGCGGUGAUUACAAUUGGAGCGGGCGAAGACGAUGAAGAGUCUGGGGCCCGAGGAGGGGGGCAUUAGGUAAAUGCGCGGGCACGUACGCGGGGAAAGGUGCGGGGGUGGUUUCGAGGCGUGAGCUCACGUAACGCGCUGGGAUGGCUCUGAUGUGACUCUAAUGCGCUUUUACGCUUUGUACUGUGCGUCAUUUGCACCAGCCUACUCAGGAGGGUGGGAGGGAUGUCUGGGCGAGCCAUCCAGGGCAUCGGGGUCGGAGACGCAUCCAGCCGGCGCGGGCAUCCAGCAUAGCCCGGCCACAUAACCUGCCUACCUGGGGGCGACCCGACCGGGGUAUGCGACAGUGCCCGCCCGGCCAUCCAACAGUUCCGGGCCGACCCGACCCAGCCAUCCACGCAUUGGUCGCCGGCUCAUCCCGCAUCCCUGGGCCAACCCCAGCACAGACAUCCAGCAGACGCGAGCCAACCCAUGCACACAUCACGUUGCCUGACUUGGAGAGCUGUUUGGAGAAAAGCCAAACCCAUAGGAAGAAAAGCUCCUCCCUCUGGGCGGGGAACAUGCUGGGAGCGUGCCGGUCGACACGGCCUGACAUGGCGAACCCACCGAACCUCUUUUCGUCUUAAUUUGUUUCAUAAUCAUAUAAGCGUGUAGGUUGUUCUUUCUUAAGCUGCUGUUUGUCCGCUGAAAGCUGCAGCCACACAGCAAAUCAACAAGUAACUGUCGUCUUUCUAGCACCAAUUCCUGGUUCCACGGGCAUGGGAUAUAAACAACAACAGGAGUAGUCAAGCCCGUCCUUUGAGGCGCCCAGAAGCGGCCAGCGAGCCGGACGAACCACUGGUUCGCUUCGGCCAUCUCGGGUGCCCCGGCCCCUUCUCGUCACAGUCUAUGCCCACACCAAUGAACCCAACCUAUUACAUGUGCACAAUUCAUCGGGGUAAACUAAAGCGAUCGCUGGACGUCUUCCGCAGAGACAUCGUUUCGGGGUUUAGCGUUUAGCUAUAAACGGCCGCUGUAGCGUGAACAUAGCUCAUUAUAGUAUUGAUACUAAGGCGCAGCGAAGGUGUUCAAUUCUGAGGUCAUGACAUGGGAAGCACAAAAACACGCUGUUCAAAGCGGCCUACCCCUGCAAUACCCAUGGCAUACCCCCACGCUCCUCCCUGGUCCGCGGCGCAGUCAUAACAGCACGCCGCGUGUUACGUGCAGAGCCAUUCAACAGUGCUGGGGUGACCCCGACCCGGCCAUCCAGCAGUCCCCGCCGGGCCAUCCAGCAUUCCCGGGUCGGCCCGACCGGGCCAUCCAACAGUCCCCGCCGAGCCAUCCGGUUGUCCCGCCCAGGCAUCCAGCAGUGCUGGGCCGGGCCGCUAGGGAACUGCAACAGUGCUUGGAAACGGGUAGUCCCAACCACGCAAAAACAGCCAAUCCCCAAAAUUCCCACCCUCCUCCUACUCACAGGCUGCAACCCGUACCAUACACGUACCGCGUUCGCCAGUUCGCCAUGUCUACUGCCGGGCGAUAGUAACGGUCAGCAAGCUGUGUCAUCUUUCGCAUAUGAACACAAGCGCGUGAGCUUUAAGUGUGCAGUGCAGUGUGAAGGAAAACGUUACAAGUUUGCGGAUUAGUUGUGAUUGGCAUUUUACUUAAUCGUCUGGGCGAUGUUCCGAUAAUAGGCUUACUCUUUUGCGUUGGAGGCUGCUCCCUGGAGCUUUUCCAGUUAGCAGCACUGCGAAAUAUCGCAAGCUGCGAGUGCAUGUCGCUCUAAGCACUUUUGAACAUCCUUGCACUCUUAUAAAGCGGGUGCCUUAGUUACUCCUGCCGUGGUCCUCGCCAGGCGAGCAACUGCCAGCUCAUGGGCAGCCCAGUCGAUGUUGAAGCGACCGAGGCGAGCCCCCAGGUGGAAUGCGCAGUAUGUGCAGCGCCAAUAGAUCUCAAAGUUGAUGCAUGCGACUUAAAGGGGGAAGCGGUGACCUGCGGGCACUCAGGCGCUCCCCCGUCGCUCCCGCGCUCGGCAUCCUCCUCCUCGCUCCAUCACAACUGGGAGGACGAUGUCGCGGAGUUCCUCCACCAUGACGUCACGCGUUCAUGCAGGUAGGCGGUCCGGAUGGUGUGGUCAGUGGGGCUCGGGGUUGGCGCGACUCAUGGACAGGGGUACAGGGCGCGACUGCAGGUGCCGCGCUCAAUGCGGCACAGCACACCCACCGCUCUCACACCCCCGCCUCCACAGCGCCUCCACCGCCACAUGUUGAGCGUACACGCAUGUCUCAUCACAUCAAUGUGCCUCGCUUGGGCCCUGAAGCACAUUGCCUUGUGGCCGCCUGCACGCACACACAAGCGCCCGCCUGACCGCCGUCUGCCAUCCCGAGCGAGGCCUGCGGCGGGCUGCGGCUGCCGUAUUCCUUGUGUGUGCAGACAGCUCCACUGACUGAGUGCGGCAUGUGCCUGAUCGACAACACACAGUCACGCACACACACACACGCAAACACACAUGUGUGUCUGCUCAACAAAACACGCACAGGGACGGCUGCCGCUACCAAGGGAUGCCGUACAGGCGCGUGGGGCACAAGCCGCUGCUGCUGGCGACCGUGCGAGGUAGGGGCAGCAGGUCGCACAUGGGCGGUUGCACGUGGGUCUGCAGACACGCAGUGCCCCGUGAAGCAUGGGAGGCACCGUGUCCUUGCAAGAUGGGGGUAAGUGGCGAUGGCCGAUACUGUAGUGUGUAAAGAUGCAGGUACAGCCGCUCCCGCCCGCCGCCAGUCGGGCGCCCAGCACACAUGCCCACCUCUAGCAGCCUCCCUUGCACACCUGGCCGUCCACGACCGCGACGGCGUCGCAACGGCACCCCACAGGCACGGACGAGAACGGGCAGGCGUUUGAGUGGCUGGCGCGGCGCUGCCGAAAGCGCGUCAAGCAACCGUACGAGUGCCCGCGCCCGCCCCCCAAGGUGAGCAUGUGGAUGGAAUUAAUGACGUCUGCUGUGUGCGAGUCCGCGUCCUUUGACGUGUGCGUCGCCUACGCGCGCCUACGCGCGCCUACCGCCCAUUCCUUCCUCGUAUGCACGCAUCCGUAACUCACAUGUACAUGCGUGCGCAUCGCACCUCGUCCUCAUCCCCACACUAAAGCCAUCACCCCUCCUCAUCACGCCUCCAACAAACGCAGCUGACCUGGUUUGACUCGCUGAGCCUCAAGCGGCACUACCACAAACCUGGCUGGUGGAUAGCGGCGCUGUUCGUCGUGGGCAGCGUGUUCUGGCUCUUCACGGGCAUAGCGCGCCUCACUACGCCAGUCAGCCUGCCCGAGCAGUGAGUCCAGGGGAGUGGGAUACCGGUAGGGGAUGAGCAGGAGUGAGUCCAGGGGAGUGGGAUACCGGUAGUGUGAGAGGAGGAGUGGAUGCCGUACCGGGCGGGCCUGCCAGGCGUUGGCGGCGGGGACAACGCCGGACUGCAGAGCACCAGCAGUGCCCGGCAAGUCCUGCCAUCCUGCCAUCGGCACGCCUGUGUGUCAUGGUCUUCUGGUGCCAUUGUCUUAUGGCUCAAGGCACACACACACACACACACACACACACACACACGCACACAUGUUUUCCUUGUGCUCUUUAACACACGCACACACAAUGCAUGGCAAUGCCAUGCUGCGGUGUGCGCCACACACAUACAGGUGGCCGCCGGGGCUGGGCUCCCUGAGCGCGGGCAUGAGUGUGUGGAUCGAGGUGGUGGCGCUGUACCUCAUGUACCUGCCCGCCUGCAUCAUACAGGUGGGGUAGGGCGGGUGGGGUAGGGCGGGUGAGCAGGGGUGGGUGAGUAUUGGUGGGGUGGGUGCGUGGGCAUCGGCGGGUGAGCAUAGGCGGGUGGGGUGGGUCCAGUGGGCAUAGGCGGGUGAGUAUUGGUGGGGUGGGUCCAGUGGGCAUGGGCACGGGCCGGUAAGUGGGGUCAGUGGACAUGGUGCGUAUGGGCACCCUAAAAACCCUAAAUCCUGGGCAUGGGUGGAUGGGCCGGUGAGCAAAGAGGUCAUCAGCAACCAGCCAGAUUAUUACGUGCACGGCUUGUGCGCUUGUGUGGAGCAUGCACACGGCCACUCUACCCUUCAAUCGACCCGUGACCCCAUACCUGGUUUGGCUGCUGAAUCCAGCCGGAACGGUGCGGUGCACACACACACACACACACACACACAGACACACACACACACACACACACACACACACACGCACACACACACACACGCACGCACACACACACACACGUGCACUUACACUCAGGUGUACGAGGCGAUCAACAUGGAUUUGGAGGCGCGGCUGAGGGCGUGGCAGCGCGCGUGCCGGCAGCACCAGACAGCCGCCAACGCCCGGGCGGCGGUGCAGGCCGGCGGCGGCGGCGGCGCCAAGGGAGGCGGCGCCAAGGGAGGCGGCGAUGAGGGAGGUGGCGAUGUGGACACGGCGCCACUGCCGCCCCGGCCGCGGCCGCGGGUGCUGCCCAGCCACGCUGACCUGCGCACGGUGUCAUUCUGGCUGGCGGCCAUGCAGCUAAUUGGCAUAUUUGUGAGUGCCGAGCACGCACGCACGCACGGUGGUUGGAUGGGGCUGGUGGUUCCUUGUGUAAUCCUAGCACUGUACACGUGCACACGUCGAUCGAUGCCCCGCGUGCGUGUUCCCUUUUUUCUCCGCUAUCUCCUCUAUCUGAACACAGCACACGGCACACGCCCUCGUCACCCAGGUGUUCUGCGCCGCCGUGACCACCGAGCUGGUGGGCAAGGCGGUGCAGCUGAGUGACGCCGUCUACCGCUGGGUGAUCGCCUUCGAGUUCUUCAUCGGGGGCGCGCUGUUCUCGGGUGCGUGCAUGUGCGUGUGGGUGCGUGCAUGUGGGCGCGUGCGUGUGGGUGCGUGUGUACAUGUGGGUGCGUGCAUGUGGGUGCGUGUGUACAUGUGGGUGCGUGCAUUUGGGUGCGUGGGUCUGGGCGCGUGCAUGUGGCGGAGGCGGCCUCGACGCCCCUGGGGGCGGCCAGGCGGCUGAAAGCCUGAAUGCCGUAAAACUGACUGAUUGAAGAGUGCGCACACAUACACACACACAUGCACGCACGCACACACGCACGCACGCACGCACACACACACACACAUUCACUCACACACACACCGCAUCCAUCGGCCGCGUACGCUGCAGGCUCGGCAUGGAUGGCGUGUGUGGAGGAGACGGGCAGCUACUGGCGCGGCUGCGUGCCCAGCCGCUGGGCCGACCUACACAGCGUCAGCUGGGCGGCGGGUGGGUGUGGGGGUGGUAGGGGGCCGGAGGCGGGGGCCGCUGUGUUAAUGGUUUAUCCACGCCCGGAAGGCCAGAAUCCCGAGGGCGAGGCGGAUGGGGUGGGGCGGGUACAACGUGGCUGGGCAUAUGGCAUGGCGGGAGCUGAGACGGACUUGAGACCUGGGGCGCGGAUGCGGUGGCAGAGUGGGAUUGCGUUGGGCGUGUGUGGAGCGCAUGGUGGGCGGUGGGAAGCGGGAGGCGCCGUGCGUGGGCUCGGCGACAGGGCGGGGGUUGCGUGUGUUUGCGUCAACAUAUGCCUGCGUGGCGUGGCACGUCAUCACACCCCCAUGGCACCCCACGAUGACACCCCGUCGUCUCGACCGUGGCCCCCCGCCCCGCGUCCCGCACGCCCGCCGCCCCCUCGCAGUGUUCUUCGCGCUGCACGGCUCACUGGGCUUCAUGAUCUUUGGCAUCGUGUUCUUUGCCUACACAGACAUCGGGUGCGUGCGUGCUUGUGUGUGCGCGUGUGUGUGUGGGUGGGUGUGGGUUUGUGUGGACCCUUGGAGAGACAGGCUGUGCGUUGGUAGCUUCUCACUCUCUCGCCUUGCUUUGGGCGUGCACUCUCGUGUGACCCGUCCAAACGUCUUGCGUCCAAACCCCAAGCCCCUGAUCCCGAACCCCAAACACACACACAUGCAAUCAGUCCUGUGUGUUUUUCCCGUGUGCUGUUGGAGUGGCACCCUCGCUUCCAGGCGUUGUCUCCCGCCGUGUGUUGGUGUUUCCAAACCCCAAAACCCUGAGCCCCAAAACCCUGAACGCCAAAUUCCUGUGUCUCCAAACACACGCAGGUGGGCCAGCACGCAGGGCAUCAUGGUGUACGGUCAGGUGUGGGCGUCGGCGUGCUUCAUCAUCUCAUCUACGGCGGGGCUGCUGGAGCAGGCAAACCCACAGCACAUGUGAAGCUGGUAGGCUAGCUGGGCGAGAGGCGCUCUUGGGGGAGAGACGCUCUUGGGGGAGAGGCGCUCUUGCAGUAAAGCAAGCAAAAGUGGUGGAGGUGCCUGUGAGCGGAGCAUUCUCGAUCACUGGGGCGGUACCCAUCCACUGUGGGCGGUACCGUAUUGUAUGUUGCCGCUGUCGUUUGUUUGUUGCUGUGCCGGUUGCUUGUCGUCAAAGUGUGGGCUGAACUUGAAAGCGGGUUGCUUGGUGGGGGAGACGGGUGAGAAGAGUAGCGUUGCCGUCCAAUGGCCCUGCGACGCAGUGUUCUUUGAUUUGAUUGUUGGUCGUUUGGCCCGCCCUUGGAAGGAUGGCCUUUUGGAAGGAUGCCCUUGGACGGCAGCGGAAAACACAUCACGCACAUCAGUUUACACCAGGUACCACCAAUGGAUACGGGAGAGCAGCAGUACGGGAUGACAGCACUCAAAUCUGGAAUGCUUGUCCAAUCAUUGAACAGUGUGUACACGCACGCAUGACACGCGUGUCGCUCGUGUGCAGAGAUCAUGCGGCCGCGGUUGCUGGACAUGCAUUAUACAUUGUUAUGGCUUGUUGGCUUGCAUGUCAGGAGAUACCUAGGAGAGCACACGGACAGUAUGUGUCUUGCUUCAUUCGCCAUCGAUCGAAUGUAGGUUUCAGAAGAGCACGCUUGCAAUCAAUCGGUGGCUUCUUGGCCACAAAGCACAUAUCCAGUAAUCUGCACACGAAAACCUGUGAAUGCGUUUGCUUGUAUCUACUUAGUUCAUGGGAGGGACGCCGUCGCAGUAGUAGCUGUUGACAGUCAUGUGGACAGCCCAGUAGACGCCGUUGGUGGUCAUGGUGCUGGGGACGGUGAAGGUGCCGGCAUUGGUGGAGACCGUCGGUCCGAGGUUGAUCUGUCGCGCAAGUGCAACGUGCGAACAGGACAGGGAUUAGACAGGGAACAGCCGUACGGUAGCAUGCGCAGUACGAUUGGUGGUGGGGGAGGCAAUCUACAAUGAGAUGCGGCCGAUGAGUCAUUCCAAUAAUACUGCAUUUCACAGCAAGGCACGGCCGAAAGGUUUUUGUUUGCAGCAGGUCCUGGCCGAGUGGUGUGCGUCUCACCGAGUUCACGCGCCAGGUGGCGCCGUAGGUGAAGGGAAAGGUGGCGGGGGUGGUGUACGUGUCAAACUUGCCGAACUGGCCGGGGGCGAAGGUGGGCGGCUGCAUGUAGCUCUGGUACACUUGAAGCACGCUCGAUGCUGUGGAGGCGCCGACCGAGGGCGUCCAGAAAGCCAUGAGCGAGGACGCGCUGCGGGACGAGAGGGCGGGGGAAGGGGACAGCAGCAGGGGUAGCAGAGGGCGGUGGUUAGUGCCAUGCAUGCAUAUGCUUUUGCUGUACGCUGAAUAGCGCGGGGGCCCCUGCGGGCCCCACCCCCAUCCGCACACGCACACCGCUGUGCACAUCCGAAGCUAGCAGGCAGCCGCCCCCACCCAUCCGUCUCUUCCCAGCAGUUUAAGCACUUCCAAGCAUCCCAAGUGAGUCCAUGCACCAUCCCUUCAUUCACUCGCUCGAUCGUCAGGCGCUCACCCGUUGGUGUUAGUGAAGCUCAUGUUGAGGCGACCCAUGAUGAAGCCCUUGUCGCCAAUCUGGUUGAAGGCGCAGCCGGCGCACAUGUCAAACGUAUACGAGGCGGUGGUGCUGACCUUGCCGGAGGUGGGCGCAAAGCGGAAGAAGCCGCCCCAGGCGUUGCCCACGUCCUGGCGAGUGGACCAGUAAACGGUGCUGGCUGGGUAGGGGCUGCCCAGAGGGAUGUUGUCCAGCAUGGUCUUCUGAGCGGCUGUGAAGCCGUUGAGCGUGGACUUGACUGUGGCAUGUUUGGAAAGGGAGGCAGACAAUUGAAGGGUCAAGGAUUCGCGCGGCACGACUGAACCCAGAGUUAAGUACGUAGGGUACUGAGCGAGCAUGCGCAGCGUGCGCGUGCGUGCAUUCAAGCGGGUCCCACUCCAGGAAAAAGCAUGUCCCCAGGGAGGCGCCCACGGGAUGGCACCAAAACCCCUUGGUAGAUUGUCCUUCGCCUAUGGCUUGCUGAUGCUUGAAGGACAAUCUACCAGGGGGGGUUCACCGCGUGCCGUCCGGGGGGUGCGUUUCCCGAGCCAAACCCGCACGCCGAGGAGGCCAGGAGACGUCGCCCCGAGAAAAAUGCAGAGCGGGAUACAGACUCCGCCACUUAAUAUAUAUGUUACAUGCAAUCUGUUGGAGCAAUAGCGCUUGACAGCAGGCUAAAACGUGCUCGUCGAGGCUCAAGUCGCGAAAUUGACCGAAGCCAACAUCCUACAUAGGCGUUGUUUUCGGGCUUUAUCGAUUGCCGUCAACACAGAUAUAUGCGUAGGUGUAGUUAGGCUACUGUCUGGCCUGGUAUGGCGUGUCCUGGCGAACGCGACAUUUAGAUGUUCGAGGUCGGCCCCGGCUCGAUUCAAUGCCCCCGGGUUACUCUAAUGACCUUAUGUGUGGUAUAAGAUGCUAUAGGAAAGGUACUGGGCUGGGGACACGACCGGCCCGCAGGGCCGUGCGCGAGUGGGACCCGCUUGCGUGCAUUUGGUUGGCGAGCAUGCACGCCGCGCCCGCCUUGCUUACUUCGCCCGUAACCUAACCGUACAUCCAGCUAAUCCAGCAGUACUCACGAGGGAAGGCCCAGGCGGUAUCGGUGCUGCAGCGGCAGUUGGUCCCGGUGCCCUGGGUCUGGGGCGGAGUGAUGUCGUAGCGCCAGUACCACUUGCAGGUCAGGCAAGCGUAGUUGUCGCCGGGGGUGGCUGCGGGCAGUGGCAAACGAAAUAAAGGGCGAGAGGUAGGGGUGAGAAGUGGGAUGCCACGAACAAGCACAUGCAUACGGUACGCGCGCGCGUGGUUAGCUCUCUGUGCACGCGGGCGUCUAAGACACGCGAGCGUCCAAAACCCAGACCAAGCAAUUGAAGCAGCCAAUCUCAAGGACGGAAGCAGCCAACCACGCACCCACACAUACAAUCAGCCCAGGACUACUCACCAAUGCGCUGGACCAGGACGUACUUCACGAUGGUGGUCAGGGUGCUGUCUGUGCAGGUAGGGGGGCGAGGAUCAGGCGCGCCACAGCAACAGCAGGUAGGGUCAUGGCCAGGGCGGUACGGUAUCCCAUAGUGAUGAGAAAGUUGCAGGGCGGGCGACAGCACUACCCGCCGGACCCCCACCGGGAGCGAGAAUGCGCGUGCGUGGCGAGGGCGGCUGCACGCCGUCCGUAUCUAUCCAGAGGUGCGCCGGCCACACGUUAAUACCCAAUUGCAUGCGCACGGUGAUCGCUCCUCUUCUUGAGCCUACACCGACCUGGAAUUGCUUACCGUAGCACGCCACGGCGGCGGUGGCGCCAGCCGCGUUGGCGGAGAAGUACUGAUGCAGGUAGGGGUAGGUGGAGCCGGUGCCGGACGCCGUGGGAAUCUUGGGAAAGGUCAGGGAGCCCAGGACCGGGUCAACGACGGUGAAGGUUCCGUCCGUCUUGUAGUAGCUGCAGGAGGAGGUGGCCAGGAAACUGGUGGCAAGGGAGCCGGGCUGCGUGCUGCCGGCGGGCUUGGGCUCGACGAAGCAAGAGCCGAUGGCGGCGCACGGCGAGCAGGCGGCGUUGUCAUGACCUGGCGUGUGACCGUGCAUAUCGUGUGACUGAGUGAUUUGGAUGUGGUUUUGGCGUGUGGGAAGAGGGGAACGUGCCCGAGGUUGGUUGGCUCGACACGGUGUAUUGCAUGGGAGGCCGGAGUACGGGUGAUCCGAGAGAGGAUAUAGGUCGCGUCUGAGAGCGGCUAGAGCCGUCUCUCAUUCCGAUCCUAGGCGAGAUAGUCUUUGACCGUUCUAUAUGAGGGACCCGUCCUAGUGGACGUUAAACUCUGAGGCAACAUGUAAGCCGGAACGUGAUCGUCUUGCGCCACCCUCUCGCUCGCUACGCAUGCGCACCCGGCCGCCUACACCGUGGCCAACACGGCCAGUUGCAGAGGCCGACAUAACAGAUCUGCAAACAUCGGAAUGAGAGACCCGGGAGACGUUCCGCCAUCGCCGACCACCAUGAUCAGUCGCUCUUUGCUCUGGCCGAUCUGCCUAGACCAUGGAGCUAUGUUCGGACCUAUCUGACUGUGAUCGAUAUUAUCCUGAGCAGAUCGCGACUACUAGCGAGCGGAGUAGACGGCCGCUGGCGCUCUUAUCAUUCUAACGGAAGAAUGCCCACAGAGCGUUGGGGAGUUUAAGCCAGCUUGAGGACGGAGAUCGCCAUGAUGCGGACGUUGCCGAGUGCCGGAGCGAAACGCCGCGGUGGAGAGCAUCUGCAAAAUGCGAGAACUCGCACAGUCGAAGGUGUUGACGAGUUCUGUAGGUUCAUACAUGGCAGUCGUUGAAGUUGCGUUUGUCGUGCUCAUGUCUUUCAGUGUUUGAGACGCACAUGUUGCAUCGAUGUUGGAGGCGCUGUAUGCCCCAGCUCGCCCAGGAGCUCAUAGGAGUGGUGCCCUGAAUGCCCUGAGGCUCAUUUGGUUGUGUUAUGUCUGAGGUUCGCCAUUAGCCGCCGUGAACGGAGCGACAGGCUCAACGCGCAUGGCUAUCACGCCCGCGAGCCCUCUCCAUUGCGGUUCACACCAAGGCAGUGUAGGCAUGGUUUGUGAGACUUUCAGACGCAUGACUGCACUGAGACAGACGUACACGCACGCAGACUGGCAAUAUGCAUACGGCACACCCUGCACAGGCCCAGACGUUGCAGACGAGCGCCGCAUUGACAUUGCGCCGCACGCUGGGGGGGGAGUCGCCGUCAGGCACACGAAACGUUCAUUGUCCUAUCAUAGGGCGCGACAGCUGUCAUGACCUGGCGUGUGACCGUGCAUAUCGUGUGACUGAGUGAUUUGGAUGUGGUUUUGGCGUGUGGGAAGAGGGGAACGUGCCCGAGGUUGGUUGGCUCGACACGGUGUAUUGCAUGGGAGGCCGGAGUACGGGUGAUCCGAGAGAGGAUAUAGGUCGCGUCUGAGAGCGGCUAGAGCCGUCUCUCAUUCCGAUCCUAGGCGAGAUAGUCUUUGACCGUUCUAUAUGAGGGACCCGUCCUAGUGGACGUUAAACUCUGAGGCAACAUGUAAGCCGGAACGUGAUCGUCUUGCGCCACCCUCUCGCUCGCUACGCAUGCGCACCCGGCCGCCUACACCGUGGCCAACACGGCCAGUUGCAGAGGCCGACAUAACAGAUCUG